GAACGAGGCGAUGCCGCGUGAGUGAAGAAGGCCUUCGGGUCGUAAAAGCUCUGUUGCGGGGGAAAAAAGGCAGCAUCAGGAAAUGGGUGCUGACUGAUGGUGCCCCGCCAGAAAGUCACGGCUAACUACGUGCC
rnacentral:rRNA from 1 species